GCGCUUAAGUAAUCGCUGUAUGCUUAGCAUGCAGAGGAAAGUCCAUGCUCGCACGGUGCUGAGAUGCCCGUAGUGUUCGUGCUUGGCGAAACAAUAAGCCAAGGCACCUUGGCUGCGGCUAGGGUGACGGCAGAGAAAGCAGCUAACCUGCAUUUGCAGCAUGCUGUUAGUAUCUUGAAAGUGCCACAGAGACGUAGUUUCGUCGGAAACGGCGAAAGUGGAACGCGGUAAACCCCUCGAGCGAGAAACCCAAAUAAUGGUAGGGGCGCCUUCUCGAAGGAAGUGAACGGAGAGAAGGGUAACGACACAUGUCGUUGCAGAUAGAUGAUUACUACCGGAGUACGAGGUGAAAGCCGUUUGUAGUACGAAGGAACAGAACAUGGCUUAUCAAG
rnacentral:RNase_P_RNA from 1 species